AGAUUCCAAGCCACUAUACUGUACUGGGGAGUACCUACUGUACAGCAGAUUGGAUAUACAACAAAGAAAGAGGUCUCUCACCCCAGACUCCCAGCUGCACUCCCCAGAGGUAAACACUGUUUAUUUCUUAGGACUUAUUCCAGAAAUGUUUCGUGCAUCUACCAACAUAUCUCUGUGCCUAUAUACCCCUUUUUGUCUAGAGCAUUGCUUUUGAA
rnacentral:lncRNA from 10 species